rnacentral:rRNA from 1 species
CCUACGGGAGGCUGCAGUGAGGAAUAUUGGUCAAUGGACGAGAGUCUGAACCAGCCAAGUAGCGUGAAGGAUGACUGCCCUAUGGGUUGUAAACUUCUUUUAUAUGGGAAUAAAACGUUCCACGUGUGGGAUUUUGUAUGUACCAUAUGAAUAAGGAUCGGCUAACUCCGUGCCAGCAGCCGCGGUAAUACGGAGGAUCCGAGCGUUAUCCGGAUUUAUUGGGUUUAAAGGGAGCGUAGGUGGAUUGUUAAGUCAGUUGUGAAAGUUUGCGGCUCAACCGUAAAAUUGCAGUUGAAACUGGCAGUCUUGAGUGCAGUAGAGGUGGGCGGAAUUCGUGGUGUAGCGGUGAAAUGCUUAGAUAUCACGAAGAACUCCGAUUGCGAAGGCAGUUCACUGGACUGCAACUGACACUGAGGCUCGAAAGUGUGGGUAUCAAACAGGAUUAGAUACCCUUGUAGUC